UUAAUUGCGAUCUGCAUAACAUCCGGUAUAUAGUCCUUCUCCCUAUAUAAGCUACAAUGGAACGCAUUCGAUAUCAAAAUCAUGAAGCUGUUCUAUCUAUUGGCGUUCUUUCUGGUCUUCGUUUUUGGGAUUAAUGCCCAAAAUGACAAUCAACAUCCUGGUCCUGGAGACCGACCACCGAAUGGUCCUCCAUCUGGCGAGAGAAGUCCAAGAUCGAGUUUCAUGUAAAUGACGGCCGCAUAACCCCGUAACGGAUAGUCAAUAAAGCACACGCACUCUACAAUUAUUUCGUCUUAUAGAAAACAAAAUUCGAACGAUAAGAUGUCUUUAAAGAUCUUCAAGAACUUCAAGAGCCUUGAAAUAUCCUUGAAUAUGCUUUGCGUUUUAAUAGCGCUUAAGGGUCUAUAAGGAUCUUCAAGAAACUUUAA